rnacentral:rRNA from 1 species
AACGAACGCUGGCGGCAGGCUUAACACAUGCAAGUCGAACGAUGUAGCAAUACAUAGUGGCGCACGGGUGAGUAACGCGUGGGAAUAUACCUUAUAGUGGGGAAUAACUUUGGGAAACUAAAGCUAAUACCGCAUACGCCCGAGGGGGGAAAGAUUUAUCGCUAUAAGAUUAGCCCGCGUGAGAUUAGGUAGUUGGUGGGGUAAUGGCCUACCAAGCCUACGAUCUCUAGCUGGUCUGAGAGGAUGAUCAGCCACACUGGAACUGAGACACGGUCCAGACUCCUACGGGAGGCGGCAGUGGGGAAUAUUGGGCAAUGGAGGAAACUCUGACCCAGCCAUGCCGCGUGAAUGAUGAAGGCCUUAGGGUUGUAAAGUUCUUUCGCCGAUGAAGAUAAUGACGGUAGUCGGAGAAGAAGCCCCGGCUAACUUCGUGCCAGCCGCCGCGGUAA